GGUCACUGAGGAAUCAAGCCUCGAACUGGGGUCCUUAGGCUUCACAGGGGAGAAUACAAAUUUUAUCCCCCACUACCACAAAUUAUGCAGUUGAGUUGUCUACAUUUGGGGAAAUCGCAGGGGUCAGCGCAUCUGGAGUGCAAUGGACAAGCCUCGCCCUGGGAAAACCACCUUCCUGGUCAUGGCAUUUCCUCUGCAGGUUGGCCUUGAACUCACACUCUUCCUUUACCGUCUCCAGUGCUGGGGCUGGCAGCAUGCACCGCCGUGUUUGGUUGACCCCGUGCAUUUUCUGAUCAGUGAGAUUCGGUCCCCAUCUACCUGGAGUCCUUACUGCAGACUGCGCUCUCAUCAUCCUUCCUAGUUCACCGACCCCGCGGUCCUCCCCCGAGCUUAUUCCAAGAAGGAGCAGAGAGGUUUGUGAGACAGCAUCCCUCCCAGCACCUCCCCCUCUCAUCCUUCUCUUUAAGCACAACAGAGUUGUUUAUUUCAACAUUACUGUGCCCUCAAGAGAUUUUCUUGAUAAAUAGCCUUUGAAUGACAGACAUAAUAGCAUGCAGCACCCUCUGGAAGACAAGGACUGUGGCCAGUGACAGCAAGUCAGGCAGAGCUGCCGCAGCUCAUCACGGAAGCGUUUUCGAGGAUUUCUUAUCAAUACCAUCAAUUUGUUCCUGUCAGCAAUCAUAAACUGUUGAGGCAGGACGCCACAGACAUAGCGUGUGUCUUCUCUGCCAGCGUGUGAAAUAUAUUUUCCUGAUGCGACGUUGGGUUGAAUGUUGAGCCUCUGGGAGACUGGCAUUCAUCAGAACCUCUGUCUGCUCCUGCCCCUAUCUCGUCUUGAGAUCACAUUUCAUUGUUCUCCCCCAGACAGAAAUACAAGGAGUUUGAUCCACAGCCAAAUAAUGUGAUUCUGGGUCAUAGAUUGGGAUUACCGAAGAUAAAGUGGUCUGGCUGCGGAGCCUACUGUAAGCGGCGGUGCCGGUUGGAUCCCAUCCUCCUGCCGAUGCCAAGCCCGCCGUUUGCUGUGUACAAAGCUCCCCGCCGGCUCCGUGUGAAGUCACAGGGUUGCUUUCACUGCACAGAACAAAACAGGGCAGUGAGAGAGGCCUGCUGUCUCCACAGAGCUACAGGCCGUCAGUUCGUUUGGGGACAGAGCCUGCCUUCCAGCUGAUGCAGCACCCCAACAACGCCAAGUGGCACCUUCUGCGCUCUCACAGGUGCAAGCUAUUUCUUCCUGAGUGAAUCAUCAAGUCUGCUCUAAGGUCUUUGUGCCACUGGCUGUUGCUUACCUCAUGAACGCAAGGAGGCUGCAAAGCCUUACACUUUGUUCCGAACGUGCACAAGGAGCCUUUAGCGUAAGCAUCUCCCUCCUAAUAUGGUAAUGAUUGAGCUCCGGAGCACGAGGACCAGAGUCUUGCCUUGCAAAGGAACUUGGAGGGUGAGGACAGUGUCAGCAGUUGAAAUGCUAGGAUAGGCAGAGGACACGGUCAACUACCGUUGAGGUGGAGUUAUGUCCACUGGACCCUCCUUCUCCAUAGAUUCUGCAUUUGCUGAUUCGACCAAGUAAAAAAGGAAUGCACUGUCUUCAAAAUAAAUCUUACUGGCACUGAA